rnacentral:tRNA from 1 species
GGGAAUGUAGCUCAGUGGUAGAGUACUUGCCUAGGAUGUAUGAGACAUUGGGUUCAAUCCCAGCACCCA